UGCCCUACGGGAGGCAGCAGUGGGGAAUAUUGCACAAUGGGGGGAACCCUGAUGCAGCGACGCCGCGUGGGUGAGGAAGUACUUCGGUAUGUAAAGCCCUAUCAGCAGGGAAGAAAAUGACGGUACCUGACUAAGAAGCCCCGGCUAACUACGUGCCAGCAGCCGCGGUAAUACGUAGGGGGCAAGCGUUAUCCGGAUUUACUGGGUGUAAAGGGAGCGUAGACGGCGUGCCAAGUCUGAUGUGAAAUGCCGGGGCUUAACCCCGGAACUGCUUUGGAAACUGUGCAGCUAGAGUGCAGGAGAGG
rnacentral:rRNA from 1 species